AGCGAACGCUGGCGGCAGGCCUAACACAUGCAAGUCGAACGAAGUCUUCGGACUUAGUGGCGGACGGGUGAGUAACACGUGGGAACGUGCCUUUAGGUUCGGAAUAACUCAGGGAAACUUGUGCUAAUACCGAAUGUGCCCUUCGGGGGAAAGAUUUAUCGCCUUUAGAGCGGCCCGCGUCUGAUUAGCUAGUUGGUGAGGUAAAGGCUCACCAAGGCUACGAUCAGUAGCUGGUCUGAGAAGAUGACCAGCCACAUUGGGACUGAGACACGGCCCAAACUCCUACGGGAGGCAGCAGUGGGGAAUUUUGCGCAAUGGGCGAAAGCCUGACGCAGCCAUGCCGCGUGGACGAUGAAGGUCUUAGGAUUGUAAAAUCCUUUCACCGGUGAAGAUAAUGACUGUAGCCGGAGAAGAAGCCCCGGCUAACUUCGUGCCAGCCGCCGCGGUAAAAC
rnacentral:rRNA from 1 species